UCCUAUAAUUUACACGACGCAUAAUUCGGCCCGUCGCAAUAUUGUAGGGAAAUCUGCUACAAUCUGAAUCUCUUGCAAUUCCUACAAUUUACACUACGAAUAAUUAUGUCCGUCACAAUAUUGCAAGGGCAUCCGCAAAAAAUUGAAUCUCUUGCAAUGUUUAGGUAUUUAUUCCCAUAAACAAGAUUACAAUUCCGUGCAAACACACAUCACGAAAACACACCCAAACACAUCCAUUGCACCGGCGACAUCUAUUCCGGCCGUUUGGGAAGUUUUAUCACCGCCGACGGGGCUGAAUUUGGCGGCAGGUGAGGAUUGAGUUGGUGGCAGCUUGACUCCCCCAUCAGAGUUGGCAAUAUCCAAGAUGAUACAUUGAAAAGGGCUGUUGUAGCUUACAGGGGAAAGUGUUGGAAGAAAAUAGGUGAAAAGACUACAAAGAGCUUGUCUCAAAAACCCUGUUAAGAUUGAAGCUGCUUCCAAGUAUUAUACCGUUGAUACGCUGAAGCAACAAUACUAUUUUGUUCCUGCAAAAGUACAAGGAUUGUUAUCUUGUAUAUAUAUUGACUGAGAUGUCGGGAAGUACAUCUAUGAUUUUCACCCGUACAUAUGAUGCAACAGCCCUUUUGACUCAUAUGCUUUGGAAUCUUGGAUUCAGAGCCAUUCCAUUAAUGGCCAUAUGACUCAGAUAAAUGUCUGUAAACAUGCUUGUUUUCGUCAUCUCGUACCUAUUAUAUUAUAGCGGUAACUGAUAACCCUUCUCUCUUUCAAGAAUUCAAAAAUCAUCACAAGAAUCCCAACAGUACUGCAUUUGAUUUUGUUUGUAGUUUCAUUUUUCAUCAUGUAUGUAUGUUAUGUAUACCUUUAGUUGAGAGCUAGCUAGCUACCUUAUCAAAUUCAAAAUAGUUGUUUGUGCAAGUAAGUUCUUGCAUGUGCUAUGUUAGGUAUGUAGACUUUUGUGAUCAAAAGAAUAUUUCGACUGCAAGAUAGCAUAGAGUUUGUAUCUCAUUUGCAUCUCCUCAAAGAAUACAUCAAAUUAGUGACUCUUUGAUGGCUUAAUAUUGACAUGGGAUACCUAUUGCUAGUGUUACCAUGAUGUAA